rfam:Helianthus annuus linkage group 17, whole genome shotgun sequence.
GUGUCCCUAAGAGAUCCUCCGAACACUUCAUUGGGAUGGUUUAUUAAUUAGGAUUUCCUACUGAAGUGUUUGGGGGAACUCCAAGUGCCAC